UUGUCUCAAAGAUUAAGCCAUGCAUGUCUCAGUACAAGCCGAAUUAAGGUGAAACCGCGAAAGGCUCAUUAAAUCAGUUAUGGUUCCUUAGAUCGUACCCACACUUACUUGGAUAACUGUGGUAAUUCUAGAGCUAAUACAUGCAAACAGAGCUCCGACCGGAGACGGGAGGAGUGCUUUUAUUAGAUCAAAACCAAUCGGCGGCGGGCGCGUCCGCGCGUCCGUUCGCCGCUCAACCUGGUGACUCUGAAUAACUUUCCGCUGAUCGCACGGUCUCGCACCGGCGACGCAUCUUUCAAAUGUCUGCCUUAUCAACUGUCGAUGGUAGGUUCUGCGCCUACCAUGGUCGUAACGGGUAACGGGGAAUCAGGGUUCGAUUCCGGAGAGGGAGCCUGAGAAACGGCUACCACAUCCAAGGAAGGCAGCAGGCGCGCAAAUUACCCACUCCCGGCACGGGGAGGUAGUGACGAAAAAUAACGAUACGGGACUCAUCCGAGGCCCCGUAAUCGGAAUGAGUACACUUUAAAUCCUUUAACGAGGAUCAAUUGGAGGGCAAGUCUGGUGCCAGCAGCCGCGGUAACUCCAGCUCCAAUAGCGUA
rnacentral:rRNA from 1 species